rnacentral:rRNA from 1 species
GCAUAUCAAUAAGCGGAGGAAAAGAAAAUAACAAUGAUUCCCUUAGUAACGGCGAGUGAAGGGGGAUAAGCUCAAAUUUUAAAUCUACCAGGUUAACCUGGUCGAGUUGUAAUUUGAAGAAGCGUUUUCCGCGUUCGGGUCGGCCCAAAUCCUUUGGGAUAAGGUAUCAUGGAGGGUGAGAAUCCCGUUCGGCUGACCUUAGGAUGCUUUACGAUACGCUCUCAAAGAGUCGAGUUGUUUGGGAUUGCAGCUCAAAAUGGGAGGUAAAUUUCUCCUAAGGCUAAAUACCGGCGAGAGACCGAUAGCGAACAAGUACCGUGAGGGAAAGAUGAAAAGAACUUUGAAAAGAGAGUUAAAUAGUACGUGAAAUUGUUGAAAGGGAAACGAUUGAAGUCAGUCGUACCGGCGGGAGAUCAGCUUCUCGAGUGGGGGUUCGCGGGUGCGUGGAGCUUCGGCCUUCGUCGCUUGUGACACCUUUUGCUUCUGGAGCGUACUUUUCCGUGUGGUAGGUCAACAUCGGUUUCGAUUGCCAUAAAAUGACCGGAGGAAUGUGGCUUCGAUCUUGUAUUGGAGUGUUAUAGCCUCUGGUAGAUGUGGUGGUUGGGAUCGAGGAUUGCAACGAAUACCCUUUGGGCUAUCCGCCUGACCUCUGAAAGUCGCUUGGGUACCGAAAGCUUGCUUACGGUCAUUCAAGUUGGCGGUCAAAAGGUUAGAACGUGAUUAAAUUCGUUAAGGAUGUUGACGUA